AUGGUUCCCAUUAAGUCUAACUACCUUUCAAAUGAAUCUCUACCAUUGGAUCUUGCUGAAAUCAAAUCCUGACCUUCUAAACUCACAAUAAUAACUGCUAUGGUAGCAGUUAACGGCAGUUUCUUACGGUUCCCCCUCUGACGGUUACCUCCACUUUUUUCUGCCCAUCAUCUCCACAACUCAACCUCCUACAAAACUAGGGUAGUGCUCACAAUUUCAGUUCGCCCGUUGGUUGUCUCAGGUCUCCUCCUCACCCAUAAAACUGUCACCCCAUCUCCACAAACCAACAUGCAAAAGUGGAGAGAUUAGAGGUCAUCUUCUCCUUCACACGCCGUAUGCACCUCACCCGUCGCCGUCGGUACAAUCAACGUCGUUCUAAAAGUUCAAGACGUGAUUUCAAAAGCAGAUGAUGGUCCCUCAGUCUUCAUCUACCUCUCCCUUUUGUCUGAAUCCCUCUCCUCUGAAUCAAUCGAAGGAAGUGUUGAAGAUUUCCAUAUCUGUCUUUCUGCCAAAGUCAAGUAUGUUGAAAGUGUAAAGGGUGAUGAAGAACAAUAAGGGGGCACUACAAGAACAGGCGCUUUUUGAAAUGCUACAGGCUCUAAGAGAAGCCGAGAUGCUGAACUUCAUAAUUUGUCUGAAAUACAUAAUUCCUCAAGUUUAGGCAGUCGGUAUUCUCUUAAUUAUUAGUGUUUACAUUUAGCAAUUUGUUAAUUUGUAUACAGUAGGUAGUCUUUGUUCAAUAUAGGCACUCAGAAGUUUGAUGAAUAAAGUUUCGGGUAAUUUAAAAAAUUCCGAAUGAUUAGGUUACAGGUCAGUUAUGCCUGACCUGUAUUUUCGUGGUUCUUUUUUAUCAUGUUACUUAACAAUGGUAUUAAAUAAUCUUCAUAACGUCUUAGCAGUUCGGUGAUUCCUUAAUUCAGGUUUAAUUUUUGCCGAAAUUUCUAUUUCUGUCAACGCAGAUUUACUAUUUGUUAUACUUUAGGUGUAACUGCAUUCAGGUUUUCCUUUUUAGUGAGUGACCAGCGAUUAAAACAUCUGAAGCUUGCUAUUCGACACAAGUUGUGUGUUAAUCAAGGGUUUCUACAAGUUCCGGUGUCGAACAUAGCUUCUGUACUUUGAUCAUAUUGUUUUGUUGUUAACAAUGGAAACCUCACUUAUAUGAAGUUAGACAGGAGUUGAAGCGUGGACCAUCUAUCAAAUAAGCUAUUUAUCAGCAACAUCAUGAAUGGAGCAAAGGCUGGCAUGUGCCAUUGAAUAAAGAUUUGAAUCUUCUGGUGGAUUUAUCAAGUCGCUCGCCUGUGACGUCGAUUGGACGAAUCACCCUUUGGUAAGCCAUGUGCAAUUCACAGGUCUUAUCUCAUCUCAUCUUACCUUUGUAUAUGUAAUGAUUUACUUUGAUCAUGGAUAUUUGAAUUUGAAUUUAGGUUAAUAUUUAUUUUCAGUUUUUUCAUCCAUGUGAUUCUCAAUGUUUCAGAAUGACCCAUUAGAGGCUAAAAAAAAAUGUUUUGCAGGCUUCUGGUGCAAUGAGAUCUCGUAGAGCUAGGGUUACUGAUAACAUAAGUAUCAUGUGUUUGUAGAUGACGUGAUACGUCCACAAACAACUAAGGCCAUGCCAAAUCAGCCCGAGUGCCAAUAAUUUUUGCUAUUACUAGGCUAUAGAUAGAUAAGGAAGGGGCUUUAGAUCGAGUAAUGCAAGUUAAGCAGGAGCUUUCUUAUAAUGGUUGUCAACUAGAAGAUUGGGGGUGGUG